UUAAACGUUAGAGUUUGAUCCUGGCUCAGAACGAACGCUGGCGGCAUGCUUAACACAUGCAAGUCGAACGAGAAAGCUCUUCGGAGUGAGUAGAGUGGCGCACGGG
rnacentral:rRNA from 1 species